CCAGUAAGUCUUAGUUGCAAAAAAAAAAAAAACACCAGUAAGUCUUGAUAAAACAAAGAGAAACCCAUGACGAGGGAAGAUAAAGAAGUGUUGAGGUACUCUGCCUGAUAUAACACUAGUAGAAGGAAUGAACGAAAGCCUCACGCUCUUAAAGAUGGUAAUGAACAACCAGCGUCAGCCUGAAUGAUAUUUGUUAACCAGCUUGGUUCACCACGAGCUACGCAAGAUUGGUAUCACUGACCGCAAUCUCAGGAGCAACUCUAUUAGCGGUAUUUUUCACAACUUCGAGAUGGCAGUGGUGAAACUUCUUCAAGAGUGCAGAUGUAUUAGCUAUCACGUUGGAGGGGUGAGCUACAGAUUGCGGGUUCUGUAAGGCUUCUGGCUUCAGUUGAGGUGAUUUCCAUAAGCACUCUGUUCCAAUGAAGUAACUGGAGAUCUUUUGCAACCCAUCCUAUUGACUCAAGUUCUGAUUCUAACCUUUACUGUACACCCGUGAAGGCCCGACGGCUGUGUUCUAAUGCUUUUCCCCCAAAGUCACGUACAGUCCAUGCAGUUCCACAAUGUGCGUGCUUCUAGACCCAAGAAGAACCUACGUUACAUUUAAUAAAGCCCUUACAAGUUUCUGGAAUUAUUGAAAAGAUGACUGGCAAAGAUAAAGAUUUUAGAUAUAUGGCAACCUCUGAUUUGUUCAAUGAGUUGAAUAAGGAAUCCUUUAAACUCGAUAUGGACUUGGAGAUGAAAUUGUCGAGCAUCAUACUUAAACAGCUUGAUGAUGUUGCUGGUGAUGUUUCUGGAUUGGCUGUUAAAUGUCUUGCUCCAUUGGUGAAGAAGGUUGGAGAAGAGCAUAUUGCUGCUGAAGGGAAGGUUUUGAUCUCAUAAAGUUUGAGACUUUUUACUGCUAAAAUGUAGCUUUGAAGUGAGUUUAUUGCAGAGCAAGUAUGAUGGUGUGAGAGGAAUAAUCAGCGAUAAGUGGUCAAUGAGGAUUCUUUGGGACUGUGCACUCGGAAGUGCAGUUGGUUUAUACAUGGUUGCUGUAGAAAGACAAACCCAGAACAGAGCACGUGCUUUGGCUUAAGGUUUGAGAGCUGCUGAAUCACAAGCUGGUGAUGCUGAUACUCUCUGAAAUCUACCAAAUUCUCCCUCAUUCAACUUUGGCACGCAGGGUUCUUAAGGAUCUCACCAUGAUGGUGGCAAGUAAGCUAGAGAUGAACCAUGUAGUGAAGCGUGGGAUGGUUAGUUUGAGCCUGAGGACAAGAUGCUCCGACUCUGAAUCUAUGUUGCUUGAAAGAGGAUCAGUCGAUCCUUUCCUCACUCGCACUGAUGUAAAGCACAUGUGAUAUUGUUUUUUUCCCCAAGGCUACCUAAGGACAAAAUGUGUUUAAUUCAAAUUUGAAGAUCAAAACAUAGCAAGAGACCGAAGCUUAAAUCAUUGGCUCUAAAAUAAUCAAAAGAAUAUAACUUUAUCAAGUUUUAAGGCCAUAAUACUUAGCCGCAGAUAUAUUUUUGAGGUCAUAACUGAAAGCAGAGGCUUAACGGAGGUGAAGAGGUACGGCUUGGAGAGGAGACUCGUGCUGCAACGUCGUUUUGCUUAAGUUCACUCUUGGGUUUCCACAUUUGGUGAGGUUUCGGAGUGGGCUUGGGC